rnacentral:rRNA from 1 species
UACGUAGGGUGCGAGCGUUGUCCGGAAUUAUUGGGCGUAAAGAGCUUGUAGGCGGUUUGUCGCGUCUGCUGUGAAAUUCCAGGGCUUAACCCUGGGCUUGCAGUGGGUACGGGCAGACUAGAGUGUGGUAGGGGAGACUGGAAUUCCUGGUGUAGCGGUGAAAUGCGCAGAUAUCAGGAGGAACACCGGUGGCGAAGGCGGGUCUCUGGGCCGUAACUGACGCUGAGGAGCGAAAGCGUGGGGAGCGAACAGG